rnacentral:rRNA from 1 species
GAUGAACGCUAGCGGCAGGCUUAAUACAUGCAAGUCGAGGGGCAGCAGUCCCGCAGCAAUGCGGGAGCUGGCGACCGGCAAACGGGUGCGGAACACGUACAGAACCUUCCUUCGAGCGGGGAAUAGCCCAGAGAAAUUUGGAUUAAUACCCCAUAGCAUUACGAAGUGGCAUCACUUUGUAAUUAAAGAUUUAUCACUCGAAGAUGGCUGUGCGGCUGAUUAGGUAGUUGGCGGAGUAACGGCCCACCAAGCCUUCGAUCAGUAACUGGUGUGAGAGCACGACCAGUCACACGGGCACUGAGACACGGGCCCGACUCCUACGGGAGGCAGCAGUAAGGAAUAUUGGUCAAUGGACGAAAGUCUGAACCAGCCAUGCCGCGUGGAGGAUGAAGGUCCUCUGGAUU